rnacentral:rRNA from 1 species
UGAGCAAUCUGCCCUUCACAUCGGAAUAACCAUUGGAAACGAUGGCUAAUACCGAAUAUGACUUCGGAUCGCAUGAUCUGAAGUGGAAAGCUCCGGCGGUGAAGGAUGAGCUCGCGGCCUAUCAGCUUGUUGGUGAGGUAAUAGCUCACCAAGGCGAUGACGGGUAGCCGGCCUGAGAGGGUGACCGGCCACACUGGGACUGAGAUACGGCCCAGAUCCCGUACGGGG